AUACUAUGCUAGGCCAUGAAACUAAGUUAAACAAAUUUAAAAGGAUUGAAAUCAUAUAAAGUAUAUUCUCUUAUUACACUGAAGUUAAACUAGAAAUCAGUAACUGAAGGAAAUUUGAGAAAUUCACAAAUAAGUGGAAAGUAAACAACACACUCUAACCAAUGGGUUACAGAAGAAAGCACAUGGAAAAUGAGAAAAUACUUUGAGAUAAAUGAAAACAAAAACACAAAAUACCAAACUGUAUUUUGGGGAGGAAAAUGGGGAGGGCAAGAUGAAGAGGGGGAAGAAGCCGCUGCCUGCUGUGAGUACAACCCAACAGCAGCCCCAGCAGCACGUGUACUGCUUCAGCCAAGGACGCAGUCUUCCCUGCAGCUGCAGCCACUGACGGAGAUGGCAGGAGUACUAGGGCCAUGCUGUUUCUGCCCAUUAUGGGAGUCUUUUGAAGCAAGCCUUGCUCUAGAGUUCCCUUUUGGGCUGGCCAAGGCUUUCUCGGAGCAGCACCACAGUCGGAGGCUCUUUCUGCCCAAUCCUUUCUUCCCCUUCUCAUAUCAUAAGUGUCAGGCCUGCAUCACUGUCUGAAGGCUUCUCCUGACUACUCUUGUUUUCUUUCCCACUAAUCUCACAGGCAUUAUCUCCCAAUAAAUCUCUUGCUCUUCUAAUUCCAUCUUGGCACGUGCUUCCAGAAGUGACACAGGUCUUCAUUUACCUCAGGGACAGGCAUCUACAACCACCUGUGGGCCAGAGACAAUCAUGACUCAUGGGCUACAGAAGCUGCCUGAGAAGUUUUUAGUGGAGUGGAUGUCAUGAUCCAUUCUGGUCACAGAAUGCAGAUGAAACAGGCAUAGCCAAUAUAAUACACGUGAAAGGUCACCACCAAACUGAUGUGCAGAUCACUUGAAGAAGAGGACAGAUAUGCAAGCUGUACCAGCACAAAAACAGAAUUAGCACUGAAUACCAUAGUACGGCAGUUUCCAGAGGCCAUCCUACAAAAUACUGAUCCCACACGUUGCUCCACCAAAGAAGAAUUUCCUGGGCAAAUGAGUUUAGAGGAUACUAAGCACUACGUCCCAUUCCUGGAGUUCCCAGUGCUCAUCACGAUGUUGAAGCUAUGAGAAUCUCAAAGCAUUCUUAGCUUUGUUUACACACGUUUGACCAGGUAAUAUUUUCUCUAAGGAAUACUCACUGAUAUUUUAUGGAACUUGUUUCUCAUGGAAACUACUCUGGGAAAUGCUGCUCUACCAACAUAUUAAUUUUUAUAAUAUUCUUCAAGGGCAAUGAAUAACAGUAUCAUUGCCAUUUUUAAUUAGUUUAUAAAUACGUUUCAGUUGCCAGUGGUAGCCAUGGAAAGUAAAAAUAAAUGCACAUACAAAAUUA